rnacentral:rRNA from 1 species
GUUGAACGCUGGCGGCAUGCUUUACACAUGCAAGUCGAACGGUAACAUGCUGCAAGUUUCUGUCGAGUGGCGACCGGGUGCGUAAUGCAACGGAACGUACCCAGCCGUGGGGGUUAACUACUCGCAAGAGUAGCUAAUACCUCAUACGAGCUAUGGCUGAAAGCCGGGGACCGUAAUGCCUCGCGCGAUUCGAGCGGCCGAUGUCAGAUUACUUAGUUGGUGGGGUACAGGCUCACCAAGCCAACGAUCUGUAGCUGGUCUGUGAGGAUAAGCGGCCACACUGGCACUGAGAAACGGCCAAGACUCCUACGGGAGGAAGCGGUGGGGAAUUUUGGACAAUGGGCGAAAGCGUGAUCCAGCAAUGCCGCGUGCACGAAGAAGGCCUUCGGGUUGUAAACUGCUAUUGUUCGGGACGAAAAGGCUCUGGUUAAUACCCGGGGGUCAUGACGGUACCGAAAGAGUAAGCACCGGCUAACUACGUG